CAGGAUCACACCAGAGCUCCUUCACCAUCCUACCACGGCUCCCUGGAGCAGCUCAGUGCACCUGGGACCUGGGACACUCUACCCUGAUUAACUUAAUGCCCACUGAUUAGCAAGUUGGUUGCCAGUGUCCCAGCCCAUGACUCCCGCGGUGGAGAGGGAGUGUUAAAAGGUAUACAUCGCUGUGCACAAAGAUCUCUGGGCCCUACCUGCCAUAGUGUGUUUUUUGAUCCCAGACAAAUACCUCUGUCUCCCUCCCAUGAUUCCCAAGAGUCUCAUCCUACUGCCACAUCAUUUCCGUGUCCAAGAUCACUGUGCAAGAUGCCAUCAUGUAAACCACAGUCAUCACAGCUUCUCCCCAGCCGUGUGCAGUGGGAGUUGGGACUCUGGGGCACUACCCUAGCAGGCCUGUUACUAUGAGCAUGUAGCUAGGGCUUUAAAAAUGAAGUCAUUUUUGCCUGUGAUGUUCACAUCUUGGAAUAUUAGAUAAUUCCUGUUGUGCUGGGGCAGCCAAACAAACACCCAUCAUCUUCAUCUUCACAGGAUUACAUUUCCUGCUCCCUGCUCGCAGAGCUGUUCCUGAGAGUUGGAAUGGCACCGGCCCCAGCCUUGUCCAGACUCUCUGGGAGUGACCAAGCUGGUAGUGUGUGCUCCAAUCCAAGAUGAGGCUGCUGGAACUCCUGGGUCCCGAUGGAAAGUCCUGCCCUCCUCCCAGCACACAAGAGAAGGCCCGACUUUGCAGGUGUUUGGAAAUUGGGGUUAGGGUUAACUCUUUCCUCGCAUCAGUUUACACCUGCCUCCACCCAGAGGUACAGAAACCUAUCAAAAAGCAAAUAUUGCAUCGUCAUACAGAUCUGUGUUACCAUCUCCCGACACAGCGUAUUGGUUAAGCUGGAUUAUCAGCUUGAUUGGUUUAAGAGCAGCCUAGGGGAUUAGCAAGGCAAACUUCCUGGCAUGUCUGGGUGAGUCAUGGAAAUCUGACCUUGUCCCGUGUGACCUUGGGGACUGCAGUGGUACCUUGGUGCUCACCAUUAAUUGGCUCUGGGAAGUAUGAUAAGUACCGAACAAAUAGUUUUGGGUGGAAAAGGUAGCAAGUCACAAGGCAAUCAACACCAACAUGUUCUAGCUUUUGUGUGGAAUACCCCCCCACAAAUCACAUAAGGACGCAUCAAUACCAAAGCAGUUGAAAAGCAAAGUAGGACUGUAUAUCUGGCCUCUGGUUCUGCUCCCCAGCUGUGCUUUUUUGCCUCCAGGAAGUGAACACUUUUGCUCUGCCCACUCUUCAACCAUGCUAGUCCUCCCUGGG
rnacentral:lncRNA from 1 species